UGUUUACCUUUGAACUAACAACGUGAGCAGGUAUCAUUAACAACAAUAGUAAAGUAGGCAUUGUGACGUAGAACAAUAAGCUGGGAAUAGAACCUUCGGAAGGCGAGUUGGUGCCACAGUGCUCAAUAGAACUAAUAGGAGCUGGUAGGAGGAAAAAUGCCCUAAAAUGAGGCCUGUUUUUUCAUGAUUACUACAAAAUGACGGCAAGCAGCUGGGAAAUAUAGUCAUAUUAUGAAACUGGGCUCCACGGCGGAUGCAAUGGACUCGUUUUUAUUAAAAACAAAACAAAAAUGUAAUGUGUCCAGCCUACCUGUGGUGCAACAUGUACUGGUUGCCAACCGUCGUUUUAACCUCAUCGAAGAAGAAGGAUGGGCUGGACGGUUGGAAACAAGUAGACUGAAAACGGACCCAUCCAUGGUAAGAAAUAUAGUUUAAGGAAGACAGCGUAUGCUAUUAUUUCAUGGAUAAAUAUAUUAUAUAUGUACAGUACAGUAGUAGUAUCCGUUUCACGUACAGAAACACAGAAGAUUGACUCAACCAAAGAAGCGGGAUAAAAUGUCUGGAUAAAUGUUUAUCUUGCUAUGAAUUCAUAACGCUUUAAUAUCCUAUGAAUUCCUAGCAAGGUUAUAAUCUUCAUUGUAGUUAACUUUAGUAAACUUUUGCGACUUAAAUCACAUAAACAUUUUUCCAUCAAGUGACCAGAUAUGGCACUUGCGUUCUCACAGUUAUGACUGUGUUGAUCCCUGAAGUUGUAUCAAAGAUACUGGUUUCCCCUUUUGUCUGUUUAGGCCAGUCCAUAGGCUACAUUGAUAUCAAUACGUUUUAGUGCCACAUUUGUGUGGAUGUAUAAUUGUUUUAGGCUACAAGUAAAGCCAAUGAUAGUAAUACACAUACAGUGCAUUCUGAAAGUAUUCCCGACCCCUUUGAAUUUUUCCAUAUUUUGUUACGUUACAGCCUUAUUCUAACAGAAACACACAUCAUAAUUAACGUCACUGGAUUCUCUGCUUAUGGCAUCGUCCAUGAAGAAGAUGCUCCCAUCUCCCCUAUCCAGGGGCUUGUGUUGAUAUUCUACCAACCGUUUGUCCCUGAACAGAGGUCCAUCCUGAAUGUGUUGUUGCUUCCCAGUAAUGUUGUGAGAAAAGAGGUGCGGGAGGUGAUUGAAAAAGGGAUGGAAUUAGAGAAAUUCAAACAACUUCUCAGUGUAAACUAACCCCGAAGCAAGAAUACACCCUCUCCACUUAUUCUGCAGAUGGACAUCGAAUACAACCAAAAGAAGCAGAGUUUGUGAAAUGUGAUUCCUAUGAAAACUACUACUACCCCACAUUUCAGUUGUUCUUACAAACUAUAGUUAAAGAAGUUGAUCUGCUUCUGAAAGAAAAGGAAGGUGAUGAACUUGUAUGGAACAGACUUGUCUGGCUGCCAGCCUCACCAACGGAUGUCCCCUCUACAGUUUCAGCUGUUUCCCCUGCAGCCCCUACUGCCAACCCCUCUACCCCCCCUGGCAGAGCCUUCAUCAGAAGAAACAGGAUGUCUCUAGAGACUCGCCUGGGGCUCUUACAGCCCAUAUUCCUGCGUCUCCAGGAUCGUGGGGUUCUGAUUGAUGAGGGAGGAGGUGGUCAGUAAAUCCACCAAGACCCUACAGAACCAAGCCCUGCUGGACAUGGUGGUAAAGAAGGGGGCUCGCGCCCAGGAACACUUCUACCAGGUCCUGAAGGAAGUAGAUCCCUGCCUGGUCGAAUACCUGGAAGAGCAGACAGUCUGAGAGGUAACCAUGGAUACAACCUCAGAAGAUAUCAAAACAUUUAGAGACAGAUCAGCACUUUGAGGAGCUACUGUCUACCAGACAACCUACCUGUGUUACUCUGGUACACUGGCUACAGACUACAAGAUCAGGGCUACUGUCUACCAGACAACCUACCUGUGUUACUCUGGUACACAGGCUACAGACUACAAGAUCAGGACUACUGUCUACCAGACAACCUACCUGUGUUACUCUGGUACACUGGCUACAGACUACAAGAUCAGGACUACUGUCUACCAGACAACCUACCUGUGUUACUCUGGUACACUGGCUACAGACUACAAGAUCAGGGCUACUGUCUACCAGACAACCUACCUGUGUUACUCUGGUACACUGGCUAUAGACAACAAGAUGAUUUAAUUUCUAUCUGGAACAUGGUGAAUGUUGAAUCAUCUUGGACAGGUCUCAUACAACAACAUGUGAGACUUAACAUCUGACUUGUACUGGACAGCUGUACUGGCUGAACACCAGAUCUAGAUACAGUGGGGAGAACAAGUAUUUGAUACACUGCCGAUUUUCCUACUUACAAAGCAUGUAGAGGUCUGUUAUUUUUAUCAUAGGUACACUUCAAC